rnacentral:rRNA from 1 species
GUGUCAGCCGCCGCGGUAAAACGUAGGAGGCGAGCGUUAUCCGGAUUUACUGGGUGUAAAGCGCGUGCAGGCGGACGAGUAAGUUGGAUGUGAAAGCUCCCGGCUUAACUGGGAGAGGUCGUUCAAGACUGCUGGUCUGGAGCGUGGUAGGGGAAGGCGGAAUUCCGGGUGUAGUGGUGAAAUGCGUAGAUAUCCGGAGGAACACCAGUGGCGAAAGCGGCCUUCUGGACCACGACUGACGCUCAGACGCGAAAGCUAGGGGAGCAAACGGGAUUAGAUACCCGAGUAGUCC